rnacentral:lncRNA from 1 species
GUAGCCCGGAGGGAAAGGGCAGAAUCCUUCACUCCCAAAGGCUUGGUGCCCUGUUGCGAGAGGGAACGGGCUGACGGGAGUAUUUCUCUUCCUAAGGCUGGCAAAUUCUCAGCCCCUACACUGACCCUUGCAAGUUCCUUCGCCAUCAUUUCGUGGGUGUUGCUUUAUGUUUGCAUUUGGACUUGACUCAUUUUCCCCCCUUUCAUGGCCCUGUAUUGUUCCUCCUUUCGGAAGAUAGUAAUUGCAUAGCUGCUUUACUGGACCCCUCCAAGCCGGCAGGGUUCAUUAGAGAUUUCUAGAUUAAGAGCCGUGACGCUGGACCUCAGGUCCUGGAGGUCCCGGAGGACAGUCCAGUGAAGGGUCACUGCAGCCUGGGGCUCUAAGUAGCCCAGAGCAGACACCAAGGCAGGCCCUGUUCUGAUGCUCUGGGAGCACUAACUUACGCCAUCCUCAUGGUGACUUUGGGAGGGAGGUGCCAUUAUUACACCAUUUGACAGAAGGUGAAGCUGGGGCCCAGAGAGGGUAAGCAACUUGCUUAAGAUGACUCAUGAAGUCCAUGGCUGAGCCAGGAUUUGAACCCUGGCAGCAUGGCACCACCACAGCCUGUGCACAACCUCUAAAUUUCCCUGACUUUCUGGAACAGACAGCGAGCCUGGCAACCACUGGGAAUGAUGGCGGUGGAGGAGUGAGGACAAACAGACUCGGGGAAGGGAGAGGCAGCUGGACAGCUUUGAGCUUUGAGCUCCCCUCUGAGCCAACAGACGGAGAGCACAGAGAUGAGGCUCUAAGUGUGGUGGGUCCUGGGCUCCAUCAGCAUUCAUGGGCGACCUCCCUGGUCCCAGAAGUGUUGAGGAGAAGCUCAACCUGGGAAGACAGCAGAGGUGAGAUCCUUCUUUCUUCCUGGUGCCUUGAUCGGAACUGACUCCCUAUAUGCAGCUACUCCCAGGACUGCUGCCACUUAAGGAACCCCUAGAAGCUGGCCCUGAGCUUCAAAGGACAGAUAAAAGAAACCUGUGCAUGUAAGAGGGCUCAGCAGGCAGAGAGAGGGGGAAGAAGAACCCACCGAACAGCUCCUCAAGGAAAUAACACUGACAGCCUGUGCAGAAGUAACAAGGACCUUCAAACACACUCCCAAAAAAGGACUUCCGGGAACUAAAUCAUAUUUUUGACUAAAAUACUCAUUGAAUGAAUGAAGGCAGAAUAUAGACUUAGAAGAUCAAGUGCAAAAAUAUCCCAAACAGGGACGCCUGGGUGCCGUUUGAGCGUCCGACUCUUGAUUUCAGUCAUGAUCUCAAAUGGUUUGUGAGUUCAAGCCCUGGGUCAGGUUCUGUGUUGACAGCGUGGAGCCUGCUUGGGAUUCUCUCUCUCCCUCUCUCUCUGCCCCUCCCCUGCUCUCUGUCUCUCUCGAAAAUGAGUAAAUAAACAUUAAAAAUAAUAAUAUAUUAAAAAUACU